GGGAGCGAACAGGAUUAGAUACCCUGGUAGUCCACGCCGUAAAACGAUGAGUGCUAAGUGUUAGGGGGGUUUCCGCCCCCUUAGUGCUGCAGCUAACGCAUUAAGCACUCCGCCUGGGGAGUACGGUCGCAAGACUGAAACUCAAAGGAAUUGACGGGGGCCCGCACAAGCGGUGGAGCAUGUGGUUUAAUUCGAAGCAACGCGAAGAACCUUACCAGGUCUUGACAUCCUCUGACAAUCCUAGAGAUAGGACGUCCCCUUCGGGGGCAGAGUGACAGGUGGUGCAUGGUUGUCGUCAGCUCGUGUCGUGAGAUGUUGGGUUAAGUCCCGCAACGAGCGCAACCCUUGAUCUUAGUUGCCAGCAUUCAGUUGGGCACUCUAAGGUGACUGCCGGUGACAAACCGGAGGAAGGUGGGGAUGACGUCAAAUCAUCAUGCCCCUUAUGACCUGGGCUACACACGUGCUACAAUGGACAGAACAAAGGGCAGCGAAACCGCGAGGUUAAGCCAAUCCCACAAAUCUGUUCUCAGUUCGGAUCGCAGUCUGCAACUCGACUGCGUGAAGCUGGAAUCGCUAGUAAUCGCGGAUCAGCAUGCCGC
rnacentral:rRNA from 2 species